AGUGAACGCUGGCGGUAGGCCUAACACAUGCAAGUCGAACGGUAGCACAGUAAGAGCUUGCUCUUACGGGUGGCGAGUGGCGGACGGGUGAGGAAUACAUCGGAAUCUACUUUUUCGUGGGGGAUAACGUAGGGAAACUUACGCUAAUACCGCAUACGACCUACGGGUGAAAGCAGGGGAUCUUCGGACCUUGCGCGAUUGAAUAAGCCGAUGUCGGAUUAGCUAGUUGGCGGGGUAAAGGCCCACCAAGGCGACGAUCCGUAGCUGGUCUGAGAGGAUGAUCAGCCACACUGGAACUGAGACACGGUCCAGACUCCUACGGGAGGCAGCAGUGGGGAAUAUUGGACAAUGGGCGCAAGCCUGAUCCAGCCAUACCGCGUGGGUGAAGAAGGCCUUCGGGUUGUAAAGCCCUUUUGUUGGGAAAGAAAAGCAGCAGGUUAAUACCCCGCUGUUCUGACGGUACCCAAAGAAUAAGCACCGGCUAACUUCGUG
rnacentral:rRNA from 1 species